rnacentral:rRNA from 1 species
GAUGAACGCUGGCGGCGUGCCUAAUACAUGCAAGUCGAGCGAACGGACGAGAAGCUUGCUUCUCUGAUGUUAGCGGCGGACGGGUGAGUAACACGUGGAUAACCUACCUAUAAGACUGGGAUAACUUCGGGAAACCGGAGCUAAUACCGGAUAAUAUUUUGAACCGCAUGGUUCAAAAGUGAAAGACGGUCUUGCUGUCACUUAUAGAUGGAUCCGCGCUGCAUUAGCUAGUUGGUAAGGUAACGGCUUACCAAGGCAACGAUGCAUAGCCGACCGGAGAGGGUGGUCGGCCACACUGGAACUGAGACACGGUCCAGACUCCUACGGGGGGCAGCAGUAGGGAAUCUUCCGCAAUGGGCGAAGGCCUGACGGAGCAACGCCGCGUGAGGGAUGAAGGUGUUCGGAUCGUAAAACUCUGUUAUUAGGGAAGAACAUAUGUGUAAGUAACUGUGCACAUCUUGACGGUACCUAAUCAGAAAGCCACGGCUAACUACGUG